rnacentral:lncRNA from 1 species
AAAAAAAAACACAGUUAAAUAUAUGGCUCCAAAAGAAUUUCUUAUAGACGUUUGGCACUUCAAAAUGAAUUAAUUUUCAUAAAACAGUACGACAAAAUAAUUACUUUCCAUACUCAGUGACAGUGAAUAUUACUGUCAAUUUACCAAAACCAGUUAGUGCGUUAAAAAAGAAUAAAAAAGCAUGUUCGGUUUUACUUAAUUUGAGCCAUAUAUUUUCUUUGUAAUUGUGAAAUAACUCUGUAAACUCGUAAAAUUUAUCACUUACAGUUAUUUCACAAUUAUUUAUCUUGAAGUAUAAACAUUUAUCAUGAAAAGACCAAGUUCCUCUUGUUUCCUCAAGAGUUAGCGUUUUUAAUGUUAAUUCGCGGGCAAACAAGGUGUUUUUAAUGUUGUGUUUAUUCACUUGUGUUGAACACAAUGUUAAUUGUGUCUUUGUGCCAUGUUCUGUUUUCUUCUAUUGUUAUUUAAAUAAGUACAGUAUGCAGUGGUUGUUCUCUUUUUAUUGUUAUUCAAAUUGUAAAAUUACAAGUUCUUUUCAAUAAAUUGUCAUUAAUUAUACAAGAGACUCCUUUUUAAUUAAAAAUUCAAUUCCCAUGGGAAUUGAAAAAACAAACAAAAAAAAUCCCACUACCCCGGCCAGCUCCCCAAGUGCUACCUCUACUUCAAGCAGAAGUACUUCUACUUAAAGUAGAGCUAGCACUCGGAGAGCCAAGCCGGGGUAGCGGGGCAAAGAGAAGACCAACCUUGCAAAUGCUAAUGCAAAUUGCUAAGUUGAUCUUCUCUUGAGAGCAGCCACGCGCAUACCUGACAAAUAUGUAAAACAAC